rnacentral:rRNA from 1 species
CCUACGGGAUGCUGCAGUGAGGAAUAUUGGUCAAUGGACGAGAGUCUGAACCAGCCAAGUAGCGUGAAGGAUGACUGCCCUAUGGGUUGUAAACUUCUUUUAUAAAGGAAUAAAACGAGGCACGUGUGCCUUUUUGCAUGUACUUUAUGAAUAAGGAUCGGCUAACUCCGUGCCAGCAGCCGCGGUAAUACGGAGGAUCCGAGCGUUAUCCGGAUUUAUUGGGUUUAAAGGGAGCGUAGAUGGGUUGUUAAGUCAGUUGUGAAAGUUUGCGGCUCAACCAUAAAAUUGCAAUUGAUACUGGCAGUCUAGAGUACAGUUGAGGUAGGCGGAAUUCGUGGUGUAGCGGUGAAAUGCUUAGAUAUCACGAAGAACCCCGAUUGCGAAGGCAGCUUACUAAACUGUGACUGACAUUGAUGCUCGAAAGUGUGGGUAUCAAACAGGAUUAGAUACCCCAGUAGUC